GGGGCUAAAGUUCAGUGGAAGAACUUCUGCUUUGUAUGCAGAAAGCACAAGGUUUGAUCCCUGAAAUCUCCA
rnacentral:tRNA from 1 species